rnacentral:rRNA from 1 species
UGAUCCUACGGGGGGCAGCAGUGGGGAAUAUUGCACAAUGGGGGAAACCCUGAUGCAGCGACGCCGCGUGAGUGAAGAAGUAUUUCGGUAUGUAAAGCUCUAUCAGCAGGGAAGAAGAAGGACGGUACCUGAGUAAGAAGCCCCGGCUAACUACGUGCCAGCAGCCGCGGUAAUACGUAGGGGGCAAGCGUUAUCCGGAUUUACUGGGCGUAAAGGGUGCGUAGACGGCGAAGAAAGUCUGAAGUGAAAGCCCGCG